rnacentral:rRNA from 1 species
UACGGGGGGGCAAGCGUUGUUCGGAAUUACUGGGCGUAAAGGGCUCGUAGGCUGCCAACUAAGUCGGACGUGAAAUCCCUCGGCUUAACCGGGGAACUGCGUCUGAUACUGGAUGGCUUGAGUUUGGGAGAGGGAUGCGGAAUUCCAGGUGUAGCGGUGAAAUGCGUAGAUAUCUGGAGGAACACCGGCGGCGAAGGCGGCAUCCUGGACCAACACUGACGCUGAUGAGCGAAAGCCAGGGGAGCAAAACGGGG